CUUUUAGGUCUAUCUUAUCCACUUCUAACAUCUCCACAUCACAAUAUCACACCUGACAGUCUGUAUCUGGAGAUCUAUAUAAUGACCUUACCUCAUUUUAUCACCAACAAUUACCCGCUCCCAAAAAGGGGUUGUGCACGGACUUUUCUUGGAAGAAGCUAGAAUUUAUAACAAGGAUAGCAACAAGAGUAAGUCCUGAUAAGCAGGGCCUAAGCUGUGCCAAAUUUAGAAACUGAAAAGAACUGAAAGAGUACCAUACAAUGAUAUUCUUUUAUUGCUAAAAUUAGAUACAGCUUCAAAUACUGUUCAUUAUGAAGUAUGACAAACUAUUGAACGUUGUGGUGGACAUGGUAGUUGUAGGGAUGGGGAUUAGGAGCAGGGUUACGGAGGAUUUAUUGCUUCAACUUUGACAUGAACACAUAUGGAUAAUGGGGUAUAUUGUGGUGGACAUGGUAGUUGUAGGGAUGGGGAUUAGGAGCAGGGUUACGGAGGAUUUAUUGCUUCAACUUUGACAUGAACACCUAUAAGUCGAAAGGAUAUUAUAUUCAUACAAGUGCUACAGCUUCCCUGUUGGGAAUUCCAUUUCUCUGUGCCAGUGAAGGGAGUUCACUCCCUAAUGGCAGCUUUGCUGAUCCUAC
rnacentral:lncRNA from 1 species